CGGAAGUUCCCUAGGGGUCAAAUCAGAGCUGCAGCUGCCAUCCUGUGUCACAGCCAUAGUAACAUAAGAUUUGAGCCUACACCUGUCUGCGACCUACACCACAGCUCACAGCAAUGACGGAUCCUUAACCCACUGAGCAAGGCCAGGGACUGAACCUACAUCCUCAUGGAUACUAGUCAGAUUCCUUACCACUGAGCCACAAUGGGAACUCCCCUAGAUGGAUCAUUUUUCUAAUCCAUCAAGCUUCUCCUGAAUUAUAUUCAAGCUUCCUUAGACUGAGUGUUUUCCAUCUAAUACUCCAGGAUAAGCCAGGAUCUAAUUCUGGUCCUGCUUUUAUACAUUUUUAACUUCACUCAUCCAUUUACUCAACUGCUACUUUUCCCCCUUUGCACCACCCACUCCUCUAGCUUGCAGUGCCCAAGGCAGUCCCUGGCCUUUUUGGAGAUCACAGCCUUAGCGAGGACUACUGAAAUGAAACCAAAGGGGGUGUCCUUGUGGAAACAUAUGGCUGGGGCUGAAAGAAUGGGAGGAGCAACUGUAUUUCAGGAAUGUCGGGUGUGCUGUGGUUAAAACAAACAAACAAAACAACAGAAAACAAUCAAAACACCUCCAAAAUGCAAUAAUGUUAUGCAAUGAAGAUUUUCUUGCACACACAUUCCAUUGCAGACUGUGUGACUCUCCAAGGCAGCCAUCCUUUCUACAGAAAUCAUGACUGCUUGUUUCUCCUGGUGUCUUACCAACAUGUGCCAGCUUCCAGGUGAGGCAGAAAAAGCGGACCUGGUGGGGGUGGUGUCUCACACCUGCAUUUAAGCGCCUUUGAGUGGAAGAACCCCCACCCUGCUCUCUCCUGCUCACGUGCCAUUGGCUGGGACAGAUCACGUGGCCCAGCUAAGCGCAGGGGAGGCUGGGAGAGACGCCUUGCCCAGAGCAGAUGCAGGUGGAGGAGAUGGACGGAUGGGCACCUGGCAUCGUCUCUUCUGCGGUGACUCACGUGGCUGGAGCCCAGAAAGAGAAGCUCGGGUUCACCUACUCCUGGACUCUCAGGUGUUAAGACCACAAAAGACCCAAGACCUGAGCCAUGACUGGAGAAGCUGCACUGAAAUUUUCCAGAAGGACCUGAAGAAAAUGCUCUCUAGAACUCCAGCCCAUCUGUGUCGCGUGUCUACAGUGCUUCCAUUGGUGGUGUUACUGGACUGGGUUUGUUUUGGCCAAUUGCACAGCAAGCCGAAAGCUGAGACAUGGAGGUUUGUAGCCAGUCACGGAAACAGGAGAAGCAUCUCACAUCACCUCCCCAAAGACAACGGCCUUGGGGUAUUUACUGGAUAA
rnacentral:lncRNA from 1 species